UGUGGCCCAAGACUUUGUGAGAGUUGGUGACAGUUCACAUUAAAGUUUGGGGCAUAAGGGUGGGGUGGUGUGAGUCUGCAAGUUUAUGGGCUCUUUGGAAAGAAAAGAAUAUGAUACCUUUUUAAGGUUGGAUUCAUGCAUUCCAUCCUAAGGAAUUUAAUGGGAAUACCUUUUCCUACCCACGUGAAGUCAGUCCUCCAAACGACUUUUUUAGUCUUAACUUUGAUGGUUGUUCUUUAGGAAGCACAGGUGAAAUCUGAACACAUUUUCUCUUUUAAGGGAUUCUUUUAGAAACUGUAUUAAUGUAAACUCUCCUGCUCUUUUAGAACUGUGAUUCUUACUUUUCUUUGCCUUUUUGUCAUGGAAAAACUUGUAGGGCUGAAUUCGGAGCUCUAAAUUGGUCUGAGAGAAGCUGAAAAAUUGGAUGUUUAACAACUGAGCAUGUUUGCCAGAAUGUUGUGAAAUGGAUCAAACAAGGAAAAGCAGGAUGUUGCAAUAUUUUUUUUAUUCCCCCUCCCCUCCUUUUUGAUAAUCACAUCUUGCUGAUCUUCUUAAGGAAGCAAGUGAUUUGUAAAUAACUGUGCAACCUAUCUUUUCUGUGGUUGCCAGAGAGUCAUGAUAACAAGGUUAAGUGUCUUUUCUUUAGAGGGUAUCUUGUGAAACACUACACCUUGUCAAGGGUUUCUAUUUGUCUUUGGGCAUUUUCUUAUCUUUAGUACUUAUGGGGAAUCUGGAAACCUCUUUUGUACUCUA